GUAUUGAUGCAUUGAUUGAGUUGUAUUACUAAUUACUAAUAUUAAUGUUAUGUAAUAUUAUACAAAAAAUGUAACUUAGAAAUUGAAAAGAUUAAUUUAUCCAGAGAUAAGAAAAAAUUCAAAUUAUUUUAACUGAAUUUAUAGGUUGGUUUAAAUGUGAAUCAAGAUGGCAAAUCAUACGGGAUAUUUUUUAAAGCCCGCUACAGGUUGGCCAAUUAGAUUCAUGAAAUGGAUCAAUGGGAAAGUCUUCGAGCUUUCCAUUGAUCCAUUUCAUAAAUCCAAUUUUCAAAACCAUGUUCGAAGUUUUCAAAUUCAUGGAUUUCAUGAAAUGGUUCAAACCGGACCCCACGAAUUUAUAGACUACAGUAUAGAGAAGUCGAUAAUGAAUCAUGUAGAUUUAUCAUUUUAUCGUAUCAUUUAUUCAUUAUAGCAUUUGAAUUCAUUGGCUUUUUGUACCUAAUUUGAAUGCCGAUUUAACCAGCGUAUCAUGUCGCGAGGACGGCAUCAUGACACCAUCCAAAAUGACGUCAUUCAUUGUUAUGUCGCAGUGUUAUGUCAUUCAUCAUUACGCCAUGCCAGUGCGACUAUGACAUCAUUCCGAAUCAUUCUAACGUGACUCUGAAGGACUGAAGUGAAAGAAUUUUGCUUCCUCCUCAAAAUUCCCACCUCCUGGAGCGAUCUCGACACUGAAGAUAGCCUAUGUUACCUGCAAAGUCAUAGGAAGUCUCUAUGCAUAUUUUGAUUCCAAGAGAUGAAAUCAUGCAUUACGGAACAGACAGACAAACAUUGCGUUUUAUAUAUUAUUUUAUAUAUAGAUCAUAACUAAUAAUAUAAUCAGAUUUUUCUCGAAAUACUAUUUUCAGAAAUUUAAUAUGUAAUAAAAUGUAUAUAAUAAAUGUAGUCCAUGGCAGAUUAGGAAGUUAACUUUCCGAAUCUUGUAUCUUUG
rnacentral:lncRNA from 1 species